rnacentral:rRNA from 1 species
GACGAACGCUGGCGGCGUGCUUAACACAUGCAAGUCGAACGAAGUGGCGAACGGGUGAGUAAUACGUGAGUAACCUGCCCUCCUUUUUGGGUUAAGCCUUGGAAACGGGGUCUAAUACCGAAUAAAGGGGGUUGGGCUAGCGGCCUAUCAGCUUGUUGGUGGGGUGAUGGAGUACCACGGCGGUGACGGGUAGCCGGCCUGAGAGGGUGACCGGCGACAUGGGGAAUGGGAUACGGUCCAGAGGGCGACGGGAGGGAGCAAUGGGGGAUAAUGGGCAAAGGGCGAAUGCAGGAUGGAGCGGUGUCGGAAGAGGGAUGAAGGGUUUCGGAUUGUAAACAUCGGGGGCUAUCGAGCGGGUAGGUGGAGAAGAAGCACCGGCUAACUACGUGCCAGCAGCCGCGGUAAUAC